AUUAAAGAAUGAAAAAUAAAUAUUAAUUAAUAAGAAAAAUAAAUAAAUGUUGCGGGAUGAAGCUUCGUCUCACAAAGGUAAUUUUGUGCGUAGCGCACACUAGGUUGAUAAACACGGCAAAAAUGCGAGGGAAUUGGCGCCAAAAGUGUCGAAGGCAGAGGUUUUGCAUGACGAUACCUUCAUCGUGCAAAUUGUGAUGAACUUUAUUACCACAAACCAAAAUGCAAGGAGGUAGAAACUGCAAAACAAUUGCAGCAACUGCCUCGCUCCUAAUAAUUCCUGACUACUCUUAAACGUCUUGUCAAUCUCAGCAGGAAAAUCACUUCCACCUGUCUAACUUUACGAGUUUGGAGGCGACAUGGACAAACAGGGAUAAAGAAUCCUAAAAGAUGUGCUGAUGAAUACAUAGAUGAAAUAAACCGGUUCAUUGAUUUUGCAAUUGCAAACAACUGUGGUUCAACUCAAAUUCAGUGUCUUUAUAAGAACUGUAACAACUCAAUGAUUGGAUAUUUUGAAACUGUUCAAUACCAUUUAGUAAGAAAUAUGAUGAUGGAGACCUA